UCCCUGGUGAUCCAGUGGUUAGAAUGCUAUGCUUCCAUUGUAGGAGGCACAGGUUUGAUCCUUGGUCAGGGAA
rnacentral:tRNA from 1 species